GACGAACGCUGGCGGCGUGCUUAACACAUGCAAGUCGAGCGGUAAGGCCCUUUCGGGGGUACACGAGCGGCGAACGGGUUGAGUAACACGUGGGUGACCUGCCCUCAGCUCUGGGAUAAGCCUGGGAAACCGGGUCUAAUACUGGAUAUGACUCCAUGACGCAUGUUGUGGGGUGGAAAGCCUUGUGCGGCUGAGGAUGGGCCCGCGGCCUAUCAGCUUGUUGGUGGGGUGANGGCCUACCAAGGCGACGACGGGUAGCCGGCCUGAGAGGGCGACCGGCCACACUGGGACUGAGACACGGCCCAGACUCCUACGGGAGGCAGCAGUGGGGAAUCUUGCGCAAUGGGCGAAAGCCUGACGCAGCGACGCCGCGUGAGGGAUGAC
rnacentral:rRNA from 1 species